rnacentral:rRNA from 1 species
CUCGUCCGAUCUGUUUCCCAGUCACGAUAUUAGGCACGACUACAGGCUUGAACCGGGAGAAAGCAGGGGAUCUUCGGACCUUGCGCUAAAUGAUGAGCCUAAGUCGGAUUAGCUAGUUGGUGGGGUAAAGGCCUACCAAGGCGACGAUCUGUAGCGGGUCUGAGAGGAUGAUCCGCCACACUGGGACUGAGACACGGCCCAGACUCCUACGGGAGGCAGCAGUGGGGAAUAUUGGACAAUGGGGGGAACCCUGAUCCAGCCAUGCCGCGUGUGUGAAGAAGGCCUUUUGGUUGUAAAGCACUUUAAGCGAGGAGGAGGCGCUCUAGGAUAAUACCCUAGAUGCGUGGACGUUACUCGCAGAAUAAGCACCGGCUAACUCUGUGCCAGCAGCCGCGGUAAUACAGAGGGUGCGAGCGUUAAUCGGAUUUACUGGGCGUAAAGCGCGCGUAGGUGGCUAAUUAAGUCAAAUGUGAAAUCCCCGAGCUUAACUUGGGAAUUGCAUUCGAUACUGGUUAGCUAGAGUAUGGGAGAGGAUGGUAGAAUUCCAGGUGUAGCGGUGAAAUGCGUAGAGAUCUGGAGGAAUACCGAUGGCGAAGGCAGCCAUCUGGCCUAAUACUGACACUGAGGUGCGAAAGCAUGGGGAGCAAACAGGAUUAGAUACCCUGGUAGUCCAUGCCGUAAACGAUGUCUACUAGCCGUUGGGGCCUUUGAGGCUUUAGUGGCGCAGCUAACGCGAUAAGUAGACCGCCUGGGGAGUACGGUCGCAAGACUAAAACUCAAAUGAAUUGACGGGGGCCCGCACAAGCGGUGGAGCAUGUGGUUUAAUUCGAUGCAACGCGAAGAACCUUACCUGGCCUUGACAUACAGAGAACUUUCCAGAGAUGGAUUGGUGCCUUCGGGAACUCUGAUACAGGUGCUGCAUGGCUGUCGUCAGCUCGUGUCGUGAGAUGUUGGGUUAAGUCCCGCAACGAGCGCAACCCUUUUCCUUACUUGCCAGCAUUUCGGAUGGGAACUUUAAGGAUACUGCCAGUGACAAACUGGAGGAAGGCGGGGACGACGUCAAGUCAUCAUGGCCCUUACGGCCAGGGCUACACACGUGCUACAAUGGUCGGUACAAAGGGUUGCUACCUCGCGAGAGGAUGCUAAUCUCAAAAAGCCGAUCGUAGUCCGGAUCGCAGUCUGCAACUCGACUGCGUGAAGUCGGAAUCGCUAGUAAUCGCGGAUCAGAAUGCCGCGGUGAAUACGUUCCCGGGUUAU